UUAAGUUCAGCGGGUAUCCCUACCUGAUCCGAGGUCAAACCAUAGAAAAAUAGUUUGUUGUCAUCCGGCGGGCAGCACCUGAGGUCCGAAGCGGUUGUUUUUGACUACGCUGGGAUACAGGCACCACCGCCCACGAGUUUCGGGCACGUCCAGGCGGACGGGGCCCAAUACCAAGCAGAAGCUUGAGGUUUGAAAUGACG
rnacentral:misc_RNA from 1 species